AGCGAACGCUGGCGGCAGGCUUAACACAUGCAAGUCGAGCGGGCGUAGCAAUACGUCAGCGGCAGACGGGUGAGUAACGCGUGGGAACGUACCUUUUGGUUCGGAACAACCCAGGGAAACUUGGGCUAAUACCGGAUAAGCCCUUACGGGGAAAGAUUUAUCGCCGAAAGAUCGGCCCCGCGUCUGAUUAGCUAGUUGGUGAGGUAACGGCUCACCAAGGCGACGAUCAGUAGCUGGUCUGAGAGGAUGAUCAGCCACAUUGGGACUGAGACACGGCCCAAACUCCUACGGGAGGCAGCAGUGGGGAAUAUUGGACAAUGGGCGCAAGCCUGAUCCAGCCAUGCCGCGUGAGUGAUGAAGGCCCUAGGGUUGUAAAGCUCUUUCGACGGGGACGAUGAUGACGGUACCCGUAGAAGAA
rnacentral:rRNA from 1 species